GGGUUGUGAGGUUAAGCGAAUAAGCGUACACGGUGGAUGCCUAGGCAAUCAGAGGCGAUGAAGGACGUGCUAAUCUGCGAAAAGCGUCGGUAAGGUGAUAUGAACCGUUAUACCCGACGAUAUCCGAAUGGGGAAACCCAGUAUCCAAUGGAUACUAUCAUUAACUGAAUCCAUAGGUUAAUGAGGCGAACCGGGAGAACUGAAACAUCUCAGUACCCCGAGGAAAAGAAAUCAACCGAGAUUCCCCUAGUAGCGGCGAGCGAACGGGGAGCAGCCCAGAGUCUUAAUCAAUAACAGUGUCAGGAGAACGGUCUGGAAAGUCCGGCAGUAAAGGGUGAUAGCCCCGUAUCUGAAGAUGCUGUUAUUGUGAACUCGACGAGUAGGGCGGGACACGUGUUAUCCUGUCUGAAUAUGGGGGGACCAUCCUCCAAGGCUAAAUACUCCUGAUUGACCGAUAGUGAACCAGUACCGUGAGGGAAAGGCGAAAAGAACCCCGGCGAGGGGAGUGAAAAAGAACCUGAAACCGUGUACGUACAAGCAGUAGGAGCCUCUUUAUGGGGUGACUGCGUACCUUUUGUAUAAUGGGUCAGCGACUUAUAUUCUGUAGCAAGGUUAACCGUAUAGGGGAGCCGUAGGGAAACCGAGUCUUAACUGGGCGAAUGAGUUGCAGGGUAUAGACCCGAAACCCGGUGAUCUAUCCAUGGGCAGGUUGAAGGUUGGGUAACACUAACUGGAGGACCGAACCGACUAAUGUUGAAAAAUUAGCGGAUGACUUGUGGAUGGGGGUGAAAGGCCAAUCAAACCGGGAGAUAGCUGGUUCUCCCCGAAAGCUAUUUAGGUAGCGCCUCGUGAAUUCAUCUUCGGGGGUAGAGCACUGUUUCGACUAGGGGGUCAUCCCGACUUACCAACUCGAUGCAAACUGCGAAUACCGAAGAAUGUUAUCACGGGAGACACACGGCGGGUGCUAACGUCCGUCGUGAAGAGGGAAACAACCCAGACCGCCAGCUAAGGUCCCAAAGUCAUGGUUAAGUGGGAAACGAAGUGGGAAGGCUCAGACAGCCAGGAUGUUGGCUUAGAAGCAGCCAUCAUUUAAAGAAAGCGUAAUAGCUCACUGGUCGAGUCGGCCCGCGCGGAAGAUGUAACGGGGCUAAACCAUGCACCGAAGCUGCGGCAGCGACACAAAGUGUUGUUGGGUAGGGGAGCGUUCUGUAAGCCUGCGAAGGUGUACUGUGAGGUAUGCUGGAGGUAUCAGAAGUGCGAAUGCUGACAUAAGUAACGAUAAUGCGGGUGAAAAACCCGCACGCCGGAAGACCAAGGGUUCCUGUCCAACGUUAAUCGGGGCAGGGUGAGUCGACCCCUAAGGCGAGGCUGAAAAGCGUAGUCGAUGGGAAACGGGUUAAUAUUCCCGUACUGGUGGUAACUGCGAUGGGGGAACGGAGAAGGCUAGGUUGUCCGGGCGACGGUCGUCCCGGUUCAAGCAGGUAGGCAGAGUGAUUAGGCAAAUCCGGUCACUUAAUGCUGAGAUGUGAUGACGAACCACCAAGGUGGUGAAGCAAUUGAUGCCCCGCUUCCAGGAAAAGCCUCUAAGCUUCAGGUUACCAACAAUCGUACCCCAAACCGACACAGGUGGUCAGGUAGAGAAUACUCAGGCGCUUGAGAGAACUCGGGUGAAGGAACUAGGCAAAAUGGUGCCGUAACUUCGGGAGAAGGCACGCUGGCGGUAGGUAAAGUCCCUCGCGGACGGCGCUGAAGCCAGUCGAAGAUACCAGCUGGCUGCAACUGUUUAUUAAAAACACAGCACUGUGCAAACACGAAAGUGGACGUAUACGGUGUGACGCCUGCCCGGUGCUGGAAGGUUAAUUGAUGGGGUCAGCCGCAAGGCGAAGCUCCUGAUCGAAGCCCCAGUAAACGGCGGCCGUAACUAUAACGGUCCUAAGGUAGCGAAAUUCCUUGUCGGGUAAGUUCCGACCUGCACGAAUGGCGUAAUGAUGGCCAGGCUGUCUCCACCCGAGACUCAGUGAAAUUGAACUCGCUGUGAAGAUGCAGUGUACCCGCGGCAAGACGGAAAGACCCCGUGAACCUUUACUAUAGCUUGACACUGAACAUUGAGCCUUGAUGUGUAGGAUAGGUGGGAGGCUUUGAAGUGUGGACGCCAGUCUGCAUGGAGCCAACCUUGAAAUACCACCCUUUAACGUUUGAUGUUCUAACCUAGGCCCAUAAACUGGGUCGGGGACCGUGUCUGGUGGGUAGUUUGACUGGGGCGGUCUCCUCCUAAAGAGUAACGGAGGAGCACGAAGGUUGGCUAAGCAUGGUCGGACAUCAUGCGGUUAGUGCAAAGGCAUAAGCCAGCUUGACUGCGAGAGUGACGGCUCGAGCAGGUACGAAAGUAGGUCUUAGUGAUCCGGUGGUUCUGAAUGGAAGGGCCAUCGCUCAACGGAUAAAAGGUACUCCGGGGAUAACAGGCUGAUACCGCCCAAGAGUUCAUAUCGACGGCGGUGUUUGGCACCUCGAUGUCGGCUCAUCACAUCCUGGGGCUGAAGUAGGUCCCAAGGGUAUGGCUGUUCGCCAUUUAAAGUGGUACGCGAGCUGGGUUUAGAACGUCGUGAGACAGUUCGGUCCCUAUCUGCCGUGGGCGUUGGAAGAUUGAGAGGGGUUGCUCCUAGUACGAGAGGACCGGAGUGAACGCACCACUGGUGUUCGGGUUGUCAUGCCAAUGGCAUUGCCCGGUAGCUAAGUGCGGAAGAGAUAACCGCUGAAAGCAUCUAAGCGGGAAACUUGCCUCGAGAUGAGUCUUCCCUGUCGCUUUAAGCGACCUAAAGGAACGUUUAAGACUAAGACGUUGAUAGGCUGGGUGUGUAAGCGUAGCGAUACGUUGAGCUAACCAGUACUAAUGAACCGUGAGGCUUAACCUGACAACACCGAAAGUGUUUUG
rnacentral:rRNA from 1 species